UGCCCUCUCAAGUGGAUAGUUCACAAGA
rnacentral:piRNA from 1 species